UUUUAUUGUCUCAUUUUGCGUGCUUAAUCUUGUCUUUGACUUUCGGACAAAAAAGUCAAAUUUUCAAGUUUAUAGUCGAUUCCUUCUAAAAUCGACGUUCCCGACGUCAUGGACACAUCCGUUUCUCCAAAUUCAUCUCUGAAUUUUAAGUUUGACUUUUCUCCAAAAAAGUCAAUUGUUGACUUUGACUAAAAAGUCAACCCCGACACAUUUUGUCUUUACAGCCUAUUCUUUAUAAUUUUGACAUUUCGGAUUCAAAUAUCCAAUUCGUGUUUCCAAAUUCCAC
rnacentral:lncRNA from 1 species